GGGACCCUCCGACAGCUGCUGCUCCAGGCCUAGCCAGAUCACCAAGGUCCUCCCUUCCCCCAAUGGACAAAAGAACCGACAUCCAGCAUUUUGCCUUCAUUUCCAAGGUGUCUCCUUUGGAGGCAGGAUGAAGAAUCCAGAUGUUUGGUAGAAGCCCAUAAAACAACUCAUUAUCCCUCCCUACGCCGACUUGUGGUGUCCAACUUCAGCAACUUUAAGACCUGCGGACUUCAACUCCCAGAAUUCCCAAGCCAGUCAUGUUGAACUCCGCAAAUACCUGUGGAUGAGACCAGCUGAUUCACAAUUGGCGUUGGGAGCUGCAUUUAGAGCUGCAAUUGAAGACAGAAUGGGCUGCAAAUCACAGAAAGGAGUGAUUUGCAUAGAGAGGGAUGAUUUGCAUGGAAAGGGAUGAUUUGCAUAGAAAGGGAUGCAAAUCUCUUUCCUACCCCUGCACCCUAUGAAAAGUUGAAAGGAUAAUUUUCAAUUCCCUAUGCCGCGGAUGUCAAGAUUCAUCAUCCCAGUUUCCAACGUAUUACACGGGAAAAAAUGAUUUAUGAAUGAAAUCAUUUGUAUUUGAAAGAC